UGGUAACGUGCUUUCCUGGAUGCGUGAAAGCUCUGUUGUUAGGGAAGAACAAGUACCGUUCGAAUAGGGCGGUACCUUGACGGUACCUAACCAGAAAGCCACGGCUAACUACGUGCCAGCAGCCGCGGUAAUACGUAGGUGGCAAGCGUUGUCCGGAAUUAUUGGGCGUAAAGGGCUCGCAGGCGGUUUCUUAAGUCUGAUGUGAAAGCCCCCGGCUCAACCGGGGAGGGUCAUUGGAAACUGGGGAACUUGAGUGCAGAAGAGGAGAGUGGAAUUCCACGUGUAGCGGUGAAAUGCGUAGAGAUGUGGAGGAACACCAGUGGCGAAGGCGACUCUCUGGUCUGUAACUGACGCUGAGGAGCGAAAGCGUGGGGAGCGAACAGGAUUAGAUACCCUGGUAGUCCACGCCGUAAACGAUGAGUGCUAAGUGUUAGGGGGUUUCCGCCCCUUAGUGCUGCAGCUAACGCAUUAAGCACUCCCCCUGGGGAGA
rnacentral:rRNA from 1 species